rnacentral:lncRNA from 1 species
UUGUAAAAAAAAUUACACACACCCUUGUUUGGACAGAUACGUAUGUAGUUCCCCAACUGAAGGAAAAUUCUAGAAGACAACAUUUAUUUUUGAAAUCAUAAUCAUAAUCAUAAUAAAGCCCGGCUAACAAUUCUUAAAUAAGUAAACCUUUUAAAUGUAUAUAGAGAGAGUAGCUGACAGCUUUGAAGUUUUGUGUUAGGUUUGCAAGAUGUCUCAUAUAUUCGAUAUCCAUAGGCAUGUGUUUCUGCAUGUGACAUAGUGAAAAAUGUAUUUUCUAAUAUUUGAAAAUACAAAACACUCUAUGUUUUGAGUAAACCAUUUGAAAUCAGCUUGAUUCAGUACCGGAGCACUGACAAGUCACCCAUCAAAACCCCUCUACCCAGUUUGGAAACGGUAAUGAUCUUAAUUUACACAAGAGCAGAAAUAAAUGAUGACGGCCCCACACAGCUCAUAAAGAUGAUUGAGGGUGUUGUAUAUCACGCUGUGCACAUUUAGGAAGCAUGAAGUGCAACUGAAUAAUAGUAAGUGUGUUUAUUCUCCAUUUACUACCUCCUGUCUUUUAACAACCUCUCUCGGACUGGCCCUCUUCACCACAGUCUAAUUCGCAUAUUCAUUUAUUAAAACCAUUAUUAACAUGACACCAGGCGGCUGAUUUGUAUUGGCUUCCCAGCCUGUUUAGGGCCCUCUGUGUGGUUUAAAUAAACACAUAAAAAUUUAUCAUUGCAUUAAAAUUUUUCGGGUGAUUAAUUUUACGGCCAGGCCCUCAAAAGACAGCAUGAGCUGGUUCGGGAAGAGGCUGAAGGGAAGGAGGAAAGAUUUGGGCGUCUGAAGGAGGAGUGCAAAAAUGACAACAUCCUGUGGGGAAAAGAGAAACACGUACUGGAGGAGCAGAUUCAGUCCCAGCAGGAGGAGCUAGGAUCGGUGAAGGAGGCUUAUGACCACCUCCACGAGAAGCACAAACAGCUCUCCUGUGCCAGGCUACAGGCUGAGAACAUACACGGCUUGGAGGUAAAACAACUAUGAAAAUGAAUUGCUCUUAAGUCAGUGCAGGGCAGAACAGGCUUUGCAAAGAUAUACAAAGCAAAGAAAUGUCAUCUACAGCAUACAUUGGUUAAUUUAAAUUAGUAUUUUAAGUUGAAAUGUUGCUGUGGUCAUACACGGUAUCCACUAAAUACAAGAUAUUUGACUU